AGAGUUUGAUCCUGGCUCAGGACGAACGCUGGCGGCGUGCCUAAUACAUGCAAGUCGAGCGCACCGCGGGGAGCUUGCUUCCGGCGGUGAGCGGCGGAUGGGUGAGUAACACGUGGGCAACCUGCCGGGCAGACGGGGAUAACUGAGGGAAACCGCAGCUAAGACCGGAUAGGGCGCACGCACCGCCUGGUGCGUGCGGGAAAGGCGGCUACGGCCGCGCUGCCCGAGGGGCCCGCGGUGCAUUAGCCAGUUGGCGGGGCAGAGGCCCACCAAAGCAACGAUGCAUAGCCGACCUGAGAGGGUGAUCGGCCACAUUGGGACUGAGACACGGCCCAGACUCCUACGGGAGGCAGCAGUGGGGAAUUUUGGACAAUGGGGGAAACCCUGAUCCAGCCAUCCCGCGUGUGCGAUGAAGGCCUUCGGGUUGUAAAGCACUUUUGUCAGGGAAGAAAAGGUUCUGGCUAAUACCCGGAACUGAUGACGGUACCUGAAGAAUAAGCACCGGCUAACUACGUGCCAGCAGCCGCGGUAAUACGUAGGGUGCAAGCGUUAAUCGGAAUUACUGGGCGUAAAGCGUGCGCAGGCGGUUCGGAAAGAAGGAUGUGAAAUCCCAGGGCUCAACCUUGGAACUGCAUUCUUAACUACCGAACUAGAGUAUGUCAGAAGGGGGUAGAAUUCCGCGUGUAGCAGUGAAAUGCGUAGAUAUGCGGAGGAAUACCGAUGGCGAAGGCAGCCCCCUGGGAUAAUACUGACGCUCAUGCACGAAAGCGUGGGUAGCAAACAGGAUUAGA
rnacentral:rRNA from 1 species